CUCAGUCCCAGUGUGGCUGACCAUCCUCUCAGACCAGCUACCCGUAAGCCUUGGUGGGCCGUUACCUCACCAACUAGCUGAUAGGACAUGGGUCCAUCCUCAAGCGACAGGUCCUUGCGGAUCCCCGUCUUUAGAUAUCCUGUCAUGCGACAGGAGACCACAUUCGGUAUUAAUUCCACUUUCGCGGAGCUAUCCCCAACUUGAGGGCAGGUUACCCACGUAUUCCUCACCCU
rnacentral:rRNA from 1 species